GGAGGGGCUUCGACAACAGCCCAACCGUUAUAGCCGUCGUCGUUGGAGGAAUGACCAGGAGAGAACCAAGAGAGGUCGAGGUGGCUGUCGGCGACGGAAGCAGACAGGCGGAUAAUCCUAGGGUUGUUGGAUCUGAAAAAUGAGUAUGGAGAGAGACAACGGCUUCCUAAAAGAGGGCGAGUAGAAGUGGUGCGAAGGAAGAGACAAGAAGGAGGUGAACUAGCAGAAGAGCACAUUUUUCUCUUCCCUUUGUUUUCUGGGGAAGUGAAAUGAUCAAAAAUCAACGCAUUUAGGGAGUAGCGCGUAGCGAAGAAGAGUGAAGAGCUGAGAAUUGGAUUCGUGUCUG
rnacentral:misc_RNA from 1 species